rnacentral:rRNA from 1 species
AUUGAACGCUGGCGGCAUGCCUUACACAUGCAAGUCGAACGGUAACAGGUUAAGCUGACGAGUGGCGAACGGGUGAGUAAUAUAUCGGAACGUGCCCAGUCGUGGGGGAUAACGUAGCGAAAGCUACGCUAAUACCGCAUACGAUCUACGGAUGAAAGCGGGGGAUCGCAAGACCUCGCGCGAUUGGAGCGGCCGAUAUCUGAUUAGGUUGUUGGUGAGGUAAAAGAUCACCAAGCCUGCGAUCUGUAGCUGGUCUGAGAGGACGACCAGCCACACUGGAACUGAGACACGGUCCAGACUCCUACGGGAGGCAGCAGUGGGGAAUUUUGGACAAUGGACGCAAGUCUGAUCCAGCAAUGCCGCGUGCAGGACGAAGGCCUUCGGGUUGUACACUGCUUUUGUACGGAACGAAACGGUGAGCUCUAAUACAGUUUGCUAAUGACGGUACCGUAAGAAUAAGCACCGGCUAACUACGUGCCAGCCGCCGCCGUAA